rnacentral:rRNA from 1 species
GAUGAACGUUGGCGGUGCGCCUAAUACAUGCAAGUCGAACGGAGACUGUAGCAAUAUGUUUUUAGUGGCGAACGGGUGAGUAACGCGUAGACAACCAACCUUUUUGUGGGGACAACACUUCGAAAGGAGUGCUAAUACCGCAUACGCUCUUGAUGCCGCCUGGCAUUUGGAGGAAAGGAGCUGUAAGGCUUCGCAAAAAGACGGGUCUGCGUCUGAUUAGCUAGUUGGAGGGGUAACGGCCCACCAAGGCGACGAUCAGUAGCCGGUCUGAGAGGAUGGACGGCCACACUGGAACUGAGACACGGUCCAGACUCCUACGGGAGGCAGCAGUGGGGAAUAUUGGGCAAUGGGCGAAAGCCUGACCCAGCGACGCCGCGUGAAGGAUGAAGGUCUUCGGAUUGUAAACUUCUUUGAUCAGGGAAGAAGAAAUGACGGUACCUGAAGAACAAGCCACGGCUAACUACGUG